GGAGCAGGUCCCAAGGGUUGGGCUGUUCGCCCAUUAAAGCGGCACGUGAGCUGGGUUCAGAACGUCGUGAGACAGUUCGGUCCCUAUCCGUCGCGGGCGCAGGAAAUUUGAGGGGAGCCGUCCCUAGUACGAGAGGACCGGGAUGGACGUACCGCUGGUGAACCAGUUGUCACGCCAGUGGCACAGCUGGGUAGCUAAGUACGGAAGGGAUAAACGCUGAAGGCAUCUAAGCGUGAAGCCCACCCCAAGAUAAGAUUUCCCAUCCGGUAAGCGGAGUAAGGCCCCUCGUAGAAGACGAGGUAGAUAGGUCCGGGGUGUAAGUGCAGCAAUGCACUUAGCUGACGGAUACUAAUAGGCCGAGGGCUUGAUCUUA
rnacentral:rRNA from 1 species